UGCCCGCAGCCGCGGGAAGAAAAAGGGUGCAAGCGUUGUUCGGAAUUAUUGGGCGUAAAGCGCGCGUAGGCGGUUAAUUAAGUCGGAUGUGAAAGCCCGGGGCUCAACCCCGGAAGUGCAUUCGAAACUGAUUAACUUGAGUCUCGGAGAGGGUAGCAGAAUUCCUGGUGUAGAGGUGAAAUUCGUAGAUAUCAGGAGGAAUACCGGUGGCGAAGGCGGCUACCUGGACGAUGACUGACGCUGAGGUGCGAAAGCGUGGGGAGCAAACAGGAUUAGAUA
rnacentral:rRNA from 1 species